CCUACUGUCGGCAGCAGUGGGGAAUAUUGCACAAUGGGGGAAACCCUGAUGCAGCAACGCCGCGUGGGUGAAGAAGUAUUUCGGUAUGUAAAGCUCUAUCAGCAGGGAAGAAGAUGACGGUACCUGAAUAAGAAGCCCCGGCUAACUACGUGCCAGCAGCCGCGGUAAUACGUAGGGGGCCAGCGUUAUCCGGAUUUACAGGGUGUAAAGGGAGCGCAGACGGCAGUGCAAGUCUGGAGUGAAAGCCCGGGGCCCAACCCCGGAACUGCUCUGGAAACUGUGCGGCUAGAGUACUGGAGGGGCAGGCGGAAUUCCUAGUGUAGCGGUGAAAUGCGUAGAUAGCAGGAGGAACACCGGUGGCGAAGGCGGCCUGCUGGACUGCGACUGACGUUGAGGCCCGAAAGCGUGGGGAGCAAACAGGAUUAGAUACCCCUGUAGUC
rnacentral:rRNA from 1 species